AUCAUCAAAGAUUGGUUUGACUUCAGUAGAUAAAUCUUACUUGACUAACAAAUGUGUGCCGAUUUUCUUUUGGUUUUAUAAUUACUUUUUUUUUCCUUUUCUUCAGAAAAUAAACAUGAAAUACGUAAGUAAAAUAAAGUAGGAUAACUUUAUAAAAUAUGAUACAUUUGCAUUCUGUGUUCACUAAAAUGUUUUUAGGAAAAACUGUUUUUGGUCAAAGUAACUUUUCUUUACUGAUUUCACCUUCCUUGCCCCAAAAAUGCUAAAAAAUAUAGAAAAAAAGUUAAACCUUAGCGAUGUUCCAGAUAUGAAGUAUUGCUAGGUUGGCCCUAGGUUGCAGUAUCCUUUCCUUGUUUACAGUGGAUAUGUACUGUAUGGUAGGCACACAGGAUUUUAUGUGUGCUAAAGUAGAGGCAGUAGACAGUGUGCUGGAGAAUUUAUCUAUAUUGCACUUUCUGUUAUAUAUUCCUGCCUUUAUUAUUAUCUUUUCCUUGGCAUCUAGAUCUUAGGUGUGCUGAGAGAUAGGCAGAUAACCUAUCUGUGUCUCUGGGAUAUUGUGCUAACCUAGGGACAGUGAAAGGUUUAGGAAAUUCUCUGCUAUAUGUCUGUUUCUUACCUUUAUCCACCUGUAUCCCUGCUACUCCUUUGUUCAGCCUAUUUUGUUACUUCUUACUUCUCUAAUGCAGGGCCAGUGCAAGGAUUCUUGCCGCCCUAGGCAACAAUCCAUUUUGCCGCCCCCUCAUGAAUGAAACUACAUUCUUUCAGAAGUUUAUUCACUAAAUGCUGAAUUGCAAAAGAGUGAUAUUUAGGGAAGGAGACACAUUAGACAUUAAAGGGACACUAUAGGCAUCCAGACCACUUCAGCUCAUUGAAAUGGUCUGGGUGCGGUGUCCCUAUUGCACUUAGUGUUGUAAUGUAAAACAUUUCAGUUUUAGAGAAACUGCAAUGUUUACAUUGCAGCACUAAGUCUGCCUCCAGUGGCUGUCUGCUAGACAGCCACUGGACCGCUUCCUAGAUGUUAACGGACUUUUGGUCUGGUUACUGAUGCUGGACGUCCUCAUGCUCUGUAUGAGGACAUCAAGCAUCAGAUAGAUUUCCAUAGGAAAGCAUUGAUUCAGUCCUUUGCUAUGGGGAGAGCCUAAUGCACGUGGCAUGCGCAUUUGGGCCCCCUCAUCAGUAGGACAUAUCUGAUGGUCCAUGUGUAAUAAAGACCAUUUUGAUCAUGUUAUAUUACUGACACAUACAAUAUAUUGAUUCCUUAAUUUAUUUUGUACCCUCUCCGUCUCUCGAUAUAUAUAAUAAUUAACUGACAGUGAAUAUGUCAACUAUGGACAUUUGUUUCAUUUGGCCUUUUCCAGGUUAUUUACCAAAGUGAGAAUUCAAAGUGAAUUUAAGUAGUCGUGUUUGACUUGGUCCUUUCAUAGCAUUAAAAACAUUAUUGAAUUUCAGAAAUUUUUGUAUCACUAAUUAAAAGUGUUGUAUUUUUUCCAGGUAUACUUAAAAGAUACUAUGCUGCAUCUAAAGGUGAAUUGUGAUUUCCAAGUGAUCUAAACAUUGAUCAAGUGAUCUACACUGCAUGUAGACACCCACAUAUGUUCAUAAACAAGCUUAAGGGUUCCCAUCUGACCUAUGUAUUUUAUUACACCAUCAAGAUAUUUUUUUAAUAUCGGACAUAGUUAAAGAUGAGGCGAUGUGUUAAGUUUUACACUGGGUGGUCAAAGUUUGGUUACACUUGGUGACAGCUGUUUAAGCAUUUAUGAUCAGAUAAGAUAAGCAGACAAGGCAUUUAGGUCAAGAGUUUCGCAAAAUACAAUCCUGCUUAUUGUUCCUAAAUAGGUUCCUUACUCCGAACCUAUUUAAUAAUAUGUAUUAUUUCCGCAUUGUUAUAUGGCCUUUAGAUCUGCACACAAGUCUUUGUCAAUGUCUUUUUAAUAUUACAUACUAUGGUUUAAAUAUACAGGGAGUGCAGAAUUAUUAGGCAAAUGAGUAUUUUGACCACAUCAUCCUCUUUAUGCAUGUUGUCUUACUCCAAGCUGUAUAGGCUCGAAAGCCUACUACCAAUUAAGCAUAUUAGGUGAUGUGCAUCUCUGUAAUGAGAAGGGGUGUGGUCUAAUGACAUCAACACCCUAUAUCAGGUGUGCAUAAUUAUUAGGCAACUUCCUUUCCUUUGGCAAAAUGGGUCAAAGAAGGACUUGACAGGCUCAGAAAAGUCAAAAAUAGUGAGAUAUCUUGCAGAGGGAUGCAGCACUCUUAAAAUUGCAAAGCUUCUGAAGCGUGAUCAUCGAACAAUCAAGCGUUUCAUUCAAAAUAGUCAACAGGGUCGCAAGAAGCGUGUGGAAAAACCAAGGCGCAAAAUAACUGCCCAUGAACUGAGAAAAGUCAAGCGUGCAGCUGCCACUGCCACUUGCCACCAGUUUGGCCAUAUUUCAGAGCUGCAACAUCACUGGAGUGCCCAAAAGCACAAGGUGUGCAAUACUCAGAGACAUGGCCAAGGUAAGAAAGGCUGAAAGACGACCACCACUGAACAAGACACACAAGCUGAAACGUCAAGACUGGGCCAAGAAAUAUCUCAAGACUGAUUUUUCUAAGGUUUUAUGGACUGAUGAAAUGAGAGUGAGUCUUGAUGGGCCAGAUGGAUGGGCCCGUGGCUGGAUUGGUAAAGGGCAGAGAGCUCCAGUCCGACUCAGACGCCAGCAAGGUGGAGGUGGAGUACUGGUUUGGGCUGGUAUCAUCAAAGAUGAGCUUGUGGGGCCUUUUCGGGUUGAGGAUGGAGUCAAGCUCAACUCCCAGUCCUACUGCCAGUUCCUGGAAGACACCUUCUUCAAGCAGUGGUACAGGAAGAAGUCUGCAUCCUUCAAGAAAAACAUGAUUUUCAUGCAGGACAAUGCUCCAUCACACGCGUCCAAGUACUCCACAGCGUGGCUGGCAAGAAAGGGUAUAAAAGAAGAAAAUCUAAUGACAUGGCCUCCUUGUUCACCUGAUCUGAACCCCAUUGAGAACCUGUGGUCCAUCAUCAAAUGUGAGAUUUACAAGGAGGGAAACAGUACACCUCUCUGAACAGUGUCUGGGAGGCUGUGGUUGCUGCUGCACGCAAUGUUGAUGGUGAACAGAUCAAAACACUGACAGAAUCCAUGGAUGGCAGGCUUUUGAGUGUCCUUGCAAAGAAAGGUGGCUAUAUUGGUCACUGAUUUGUUUUUGUUUUGUUUUUGAAUGUCAGAAAUGUAUAUUUGUGAAUGUUGAGAUGUUAUAUUGGUUUCACUGGUAAUAAUAAAUAAUUGAAAUGGGUAUAUAUUUGUUUUUUGUUAAGUUGCCUAAUAAUUAUGCACAGUAAUAGUCACCUGCACACACAGAUAUCCCCCUAACAUAGCUAAACUAAAAACAAACUAAAAACUACUUCCAAAAAUAUUCAGCUUUGAUAUUAAUGAGUUUUUUGGGUUCAUUGAGAACAUGGUUGUUGUUCAAUAAUAAAAUUAAUCCUCAAAAAUACAACUUGCCUAAUAAUUCUGCACUCCCUGUAUAUAUCAUAUUUAAUAUAAUACCCAAUUGUCCAAAGUUGUACCAAACGUUAAUUAUAUAUUUCUGUGUCGUAAAAAAAUACAACAAAACAAAACAAUGCAAUGAUGUUUAAAGCCUGUAAUAAUAAUAUAACUUAUUAUGAUUAACAGUGUCGGUGAACCUAGAUCCUGCAACUGUACAUGGUAAUAUCACCGUAUCAGAAAAUGGAACAAGUGCCAGAUAUCAGAGAGAACCGUCUGGCACAAGUCUCGAAGAUUUUUGUGUGCGAAGUGUUAAUGCAUUACCCAAAGGAAUUUUGUAUUUGGAUUUGGAGAUAGAAGAUACCUUGUGCACGAUUGGAAUUUGCAAAUUCAUAGAGAGAGAAGAAUCAAGAGUAGUAAACACAAACGACAAGAUAUGUGAAAUACAAAUCUCGAACCUUAAUAGCUCAGACACUAAUAAAGGACCUCAUCGGUUACGAAUGUAUUUACAUUUUAAACUAAAAUACCUGACAAUUCUUAGUCUGGACACCUUGGAAUACCAAACAACAGAAAAAUUCCUAAAAUAUGAUGAAGACAUAUACCUCUUUAUAGCACUAAAGGGAAAUAAUACAAUUAAAUUAUGUUAACGGUAGGAAAAAAAAUCUUUAUGCCAAAGAUCACAGUGUAGAGUCUCUCUUUACAAUAUACUCCACGAGGAUUUCACCAUAAAAUAAGGAACUUGCUGUGCAAGAUGACAUUUUUCUUCAACCCAUAAAUUGCUUUACAAUAUCUAUAAACUUGUAUAAAAUCUUCUGGAUUUUUUUUUUUUUUUUUUUAAAGUGCUACACCAAAAAAAGCUGCCUUUACAGUAUUGACAUUUUAUUCUUUCAACUAUUGAUUCUUUGGUGAAGAUUCAUGUUGCUAAAGAGACGUUAUGAAUGCAGCAUAUUGUAGUUGUUAUGGUGCAAUGAUUCUAAGCAUUGUGUCCUUCUGAUCUCUGAACAUCCUUUCAGCACAUUAUCACUCCUGUUUUUUUAUUUUGUAAAUUGUAUUAUAAUAAAUGUAUUUCUACAUAA